rnacentral:rRNA from 1 species
UGGGGAAUAUUGGACAAUGGGGGGAACCCUGAUCCAGCCAUGCCGCGUGUGUGAAGAAGGCCUUAUGGUUGUAAAGCACUUUAAGUUGGGAGGAAGGGCAGUAAGCGAAUACCUUGCUGUUUUGACGUUACCGACAGAAUAAGCACCGGCUAACUCUGUGCCAGCAGCCGCGGUAAUACAGAGGGUGCAAGCGUUAAUCGGAAUUACUGGGCGUAAAGCGCGCGUAGGUGGUUCGUUAAGUUGAAUGUGAAAGCCCCGGGCUCAACCUGGGAACUGCAUCCAGAACUGGCGAGCGAGAGUAGGGCAGAGGGUGGUGGAAUUUCCUGGGUAGCGGUGAAAUGCGUAGAUAUAGGAAGGAACACCAGUGGCGAAGGCGACCACCUGGGCUCAUACUGACACUGAGGUGCGAAAGCGUGGGGAGCAAACAGG